rnacentral:pre_miRNA from 1 species
AAGGAUCCUCCCAUUUGCGCCCACUGGGUUAUGAUGCAGAUUCUUCAUCUACUUCACUGGAGCUUCCACAAGUGGUGCACCAGAUGAAGGUCUGCAUCGUAGCCGAGAGGAAGCAAAUUCUUCUGGACC